rnacentral:lncRNA from 1 species
CGAUGUCUGUACAGCUACUUAUUUAUUUGAUGCUUACUUAAUUUGUACUUAUUUUACAUGGGGUAGCAAAAAUUAUGCUGCAAUGCCAUUUUGGCUAUCCAGCAAUAUUUAUGGAUCAUUCCCAGGGAUGAAAGCACCUGUCAUCAAUCCUAUGCACUAACAUGGACGGGUCUCCACUGGACUCUGAGCUGCGCCCCAGCCAUGACCUUCCUCUCUGUAAGGUGACACUGCGGAGGGUGCCUCAGAGCAGCAUCACUGCUUUGGACACAGCUUGUGCGCCCCAGGAUGGGGUCUACCCAACCUCUCUCUUGGAUCUUGAUUUCCUUCCAGAUUGAGAGCACAGUGGCCACAGCAGUCCCAGCAUUUCUUAAAUCCCGGACUGUCUUGCUUUUUUCAAGGCGAGAUCUGGGGCCCUGCUUAGUCCUUAUUCCCAUUUCCCAGGGCUUUACCGCAGGUCCCUUGAGUUUGGUGCCAUGAGGAUUCCAGGGCCGAUUUCCAACCUGGCAGCAUCUGAAGGGGCUCUGGACCCUUCUGUCAUAUGACCUGAGGCGGAUUUCAGGCAACAGUGGAGUCUGAGAGGGUUGACUCUCUCUAAGACAAGGCAGAACUGGGCACACCCACGGUUAAUCCAAGACAGUGUGGCCCUGUACCUCCUGGGCCCUCCCAAUUACAGCUAAAACAUUGCAGCAUCUCAGAAGCAUGGGGAGUCCCUGAAAGGAAGAAAGAAGGAGGUGGGCACCCUGGAGGCCUCUGCUCAGCACCUUCCAUGAUCAAUCUCUCAGCAUCAGUAUAGUGUGAUGUCCCCAGCACACAUGUGGCAUAGAAGGAAGAUGGUGGGUGCCUCCGCUCAGCACCCUCCAUGAUCAAGCUGUGAGCAUCAGUAUAGUGUGAUGUCCCCAGCACACAUGUGGCACAGAAGGAAGAUGGUGGGUGCCCUGGAGGCUUCUGCUCAGCACCUUCCAUGAUCAAGCUCUCAGCAUCAGUAUAGUGUGAUGUCCCAGCACACAUGUGGCACAGAAGGACACAUGGCAGCCCCACAGCCAGAUCACACUCAAUAGUGAAGGGCUGAGAGCUUUCCCUCUAACAUCGAGAGCAAGGGUAGGCUGCCCUCCACCAAACACACACUUCUAUUCAGCAUCAAAGUGGAAGAGCUGGCCAGAGCAAUCAGGCAAGAAAAGGAAAUAAAAGGCAUCCAAAGACAAAAAGAAGUAGUUAAAUUGUCUGUUUUCUGAUGACAUGAUCUAAUGUAUAGAAAACCCGAAAGACUCCACCAAAAAACUAUUAGAACCGACAAAUAUCUUAUAACAUUUGUUUCUCUUUAGUAAUAGUAUUUAAAUUUCAUAAUUUUCAUAUUAAACUUUUAAUAACAUUUCUGUAUAUUCUAUUGGACUUUUAAUACAGAAUUAUAUGCACUGGAUAAUGAGGGUGUUAUUCCUUUUUGCAAAAGCUGAUAGAUUUCAUUAUUUUUUUCUUCCUUUAUUAAAUGGGUUAGCACUUCAGCAAUGUACAGAAUAAAUGUGAGCAGAGAAGGCAUCCUCAUCUUGAUUGAGUGAGAAAGAUUUCAACAUUUCUCCAACAAAUAUCAUGAUUCCAUUAUUUUGUAUAUACCCUUUCCUUAAGAUGAAGGGUAUUUAAUUAGAUUUUUAGAAUGCUAUUUUAAAAUUAAUUAUGAAUGACUUUUUAACUAUAUCAAUUUCAUUGUUUAAGGAUAUUUGAAUUUAUAUUCAUGAAUGAGUUUGGUCUGUAUUUUAUUAUUAUCACUUCUCUGUCAAGAUCUGGCAUCAGUUUUUUUUUCUGGCAUGUUAAAUUGGUUAGAGUGUAUUUAAUAAUUCUCUGUUGUCUGAAAAAUUUUGUAAAAAAUUGGUAUUAUUCCUUCAUUAAAUAUUUGGUAAAAUUCACUAAUAUAGUUUCUAUGGUCUGCAGUUUUCAUAAUAGUUUCAUUUUAUUUACAAAUU